rnacentral:rRNA from 1 species
GACGAACGCUGGCGGCGUGCUUAACACAUGCAAGUCGAACGGAAAGGCCUCUUGCUUGCAAGGGGUACUCGAGUGGCGAACGGGUGAGUAACACGUGGGUGAUCUGCCUUGUACUCUGGGAUAAGCUUGGGAAACUGGGUCUAAUACCGGAUAAUAGCCGCCUUUAGUGUGGUGGUUGGAAAGUUUUUUCGGUGCAAGAUGAGCACGCGGCCUAUCAGCUUGUUGGUGGGGUAAUGGCCUACCAAGGCGUCGACGGGUAGCCGGCCUGAGAGGGUGUACGGCCACAUUGGGACUGAGAUACGGCCCAG